UGAGAAAGCAGUGCUAUCUAAGUUUCUUUUUUAAAAGCCACUGUUGUUCGCAGCUAUAAGAAGGGGGCUAAUCUGAUUCUGAAUCAAGUUAAUGCUGCAAGGACACAUUGAAAGCAUACCUCAGGAAAACAGAUGUUGAGCUCAAGAGCUGUCGACCGACCCCUGUGGUGCUGCAACCUCAACAAAGUGGCAUCCUAUUUCAAGGUCAAAAUAUGAAUUCUUAAAUCCUACGUAAAUGAUCUAAGUGACAAGAAUAGACUAUUUAUUCAAACAAUUGAAGGUUCUGAAAGAGAAGCCAAUGACAAUUUCUCAUUUGAAAGUUAGACUACUGGGAGCUGACCAGAUAAUUAAUGUAAGAACAUUAAUACUGACUUGCUGUAUAUAAACUCAUUUGCAAAAUUUUUAUUGUGGCUAAAGCUUGUUGAGUUUUACAGUUUUGUAUUUGACA